rnacentral:rRNA from 1 species
AGUGAACGCUGGCGGUAGGCCUAACACAUGCAAGUCGAACGGCAGCACAGGAGAGCUUGCUCUCUGGGUGGCGAGUGGCGGACGGGUGAGGAAUACAUCGGAAUCUACUCUGUCGUGGGGGAUAACGUAGGGAAACUUACGCUAAUACCGCAUACGACCUACGGGUGAAAGCAGGGGAUCUUCGGACCUUGCGCGAUUGAAUGAGCCGAUGUCGGAUUAGCUAGUUGGCGGGGUAAAGGCCCACCAAGGCGACGAUCCGUAGCUGGUCUGAGAGGAUGAUCAGCCGCACUGGAACUGAGACACGGUCCAGACUCCUACGGGAGGCAGCAGUGGGGAAUAUUGGACAAUGGGCGCAAGCCUGAUCCAGCCAUACCUCGUGGGUGAAGAAGGCCUUCGGGUUGUAAAGCCCUUUUGUUGGGAAAGAAAUCCAGCUGGCUAAUACCCGGUUGGGAUGACGGUACCCAAAGAAUAAGCACCGGCUAACUUCGUGCCAGCAGCCGCGGUAA